AACACUGUUAACCUGCGGUACCUGCGGAAGGAUCAUUGCCACACAAAAUAUUAAAUAUACAGUUACACUAGUUGUAACUGUAUAAACACUUUAUGUGAACUGUUAAAUGUUUGCGUUUCUAAUUUGAAUUAUUUUAGAAUUAUUCAAGUUAGUUUACGCUUCUACCCCAACCCACCUUUGUUAAACAAAAUGAUUAAUUCAUUGGAAGUAAAUUAGCGAAAUAAAAAACGCUAGAUUGAA
rnacentral:misc_RNA from 1 species